rnacentral:rRNA from 1 species
AGUUUGAUCCUGGCUCAGGAUGAACGCUAGCUACAGGCUUAACACAUGCAAGUCGAGGGGCAGCAUUGGGGUAGCAAUACUUCAGAUGGCGACCGGCGCACGGGUGAGUAACACGUAUCCAACCUGCCGCUUACUCGGGGAUAGCCUUUCGAAAGAAAGAUUAAUACCCGAUGGUAUAAAGAGUUCGCAUGUUCUCUUUAUUAAAGAAUUUCGGUAAGCGAUGGGGAUGCGUUCCAUUAGAUAGUUGGCGGGGUAACGGCCCACCAAGUCUACGAUGGAUAGGGGUUCUGAGAGGAAGGUCCCCCACAUUGGAACUGAGACACGGUCCAAACUCCUACGGGAGGCAGCAGUGAGGAAUAUUGGUCAAUGGACGCGAGUCUGAACCAGCCAAGUAGCGUGAAGGAUGACUGCCCUAUGGGUUGUAAACUUCUUUUAUAAGGGAAUAAAGUGAGGGACGUGUCCCUUUUUGUAUGUACCUUAUGAAUAAGGAUCGGCUAACUCCGUGCCAGCAGCCGCGGUAAUACGGAGGAUCCAAGCGUUAUCCGGAUUUAUUGGGUUUAAAGGGAGCGUAGGUUGACGUAUAAGUCAGCUGUGAAAGUUUACGGCUCAACCGUGAAAUUGCAGUUGAUACUGUAUGUCUUGAGUGUACAAGAGGUGGGCGGAAUUCGUGGUGUAGCGGUGAAAUGCUUAGAUAUCACGAAGAACUCCAAUUGCGAAGGCAGCUCACUGGGGUACAACUGACACUGAGGCUCGAAAGUGUGGGUAUCAAACAGGAUUAGAUACCCUGGUAGUCCACACAGUAAACGAUGAAUACUCGCUGUUUGCGACAUACAGUAAGCGGCCAAGCGAAAGCAUUAAGUAUUCCACCUGGGGAGUACGCCGGCAACGGUGAAACUCAAAGGAAUUGACGGGGGCCCGCACAAGCGGAGGAACAUGUGGUUUAAUUCGAUGAUACGCGAGGAACCUUACCCGGGCUUGAAUUGCAGAGGAACAUAGUUGAAAGAUUAUGGCCGCAAGGUCUCUGUGAAGGUGCUGCAUGGUUGUCGUCAGCUCGUGCCGUGAGGUGUCGGCUUAAGUGCCAUAACGAGCGCAACCCUUAUCAUUAGUUACUAACAGGUCAUGCUGAGGACUCUAGUGAGACUGCCGUCGUAAGAUGUGAGGAAGGUGG